rnacentral:rRNA from 1 species
CGGGGUGCAGCAGUAAGGAAUAUUGGACAAUGGACGCAAGUCUGAUCCAGCCAUGCCGCGUGAAGGAUGAAGGUCCUCUGGAUUGUAAACUUCUUUUAUAUGGGACGAAAAAAGGGAAUUCUUUCCCUCUUGACGGUACUGUAUGAAUAAGCACCGGCUAACUCCGUGCCAGCAGCCGCGGUAAUACGGAGGGUGCAAGCGUUAUCCGGAUUCACUGGGUUUAAAGGGUGCGUAGGCGGGUAUGUAAGUCAGUGGUGAAAUCCCGGAGCUUAACUCUGGAACUGCCAUUGAUACUAUAUAUCUUGAAUAUUGUGGAGGUUUGCGGAAUAUGUCAUGUAGCGGUGAAAUGCAUAGAUAUGACAUAGAACACCUAUUGCGAAGGCAGCAGGCUACACAUAUAUUGACGCUGAGGCACGAAAGCGUGGGGAUCAAACAGGAUUAGAUACCCCUGU